AUGGAGAUGAAACCCAAAAGAUUUUCGUUGGGGCGUAACCCUCUCAGCGACGCGCCACAUCGGAACCCGUGUGUGGUGGAAAAUGGGCAAGGGCCGGGCCGUCACCCCCCAAGUGGCGCGCCGUAUCUUGAUCCGGAUACGAUGGCAAGUGAGCGAGGAUCGGAUCGUCGCAUCCUUAGUGGCGCGCUACAUCGGCGCCCGGAUGUAGUGGAAAAUGAGCAAGGGUCUUCGCAUUUGACUCGACGAGUGCGAAGGGUAAGGAAGCUAGCCGAGCCUAGGAGGAUUCGCUUAGGUAGCUGGAAUGUAGGGUCUCUGACAGGGAAGCUUCGGGAGCUAGUUGAUGCAGCAGUGAGGAGAGGUGUUGAUAUCCUUUGCGUCCAAGAAACCAAAUGGAGAGGACAGAAGGCGAAGGAGAUGGAGGAUACCGGCUUCAAGCUGUGGUACACGGAGACGGCUGCAAACAGAAAUGGCGUAGGCAUCUUGAUCAACAAGAGCCUCAAGUAUGGAGUGGUAGACGUCAGGAGACGUGGGGACCGGAUUAUCCUGGUCAAGCUGGUAGCUGAGGACUUGGUUCUCAAUGUUAUCAGCGCAUAUGCCCCGCAAGUAGGCCACAAUGAAAACACCAAGAGGGAGUUCUGGGAAGGCUUGGAAGACAUGGUUAGGAGUGUACCGAUUGGUGAGAAGCUCUUCAUAGGAGGAGACCUCAAUGGCCACGUGGGUACAUCUAACACAAGUUUUGAAGGGGCGCAUGGGGGCUUUGGCUAUGGCAUCAGGAAUCAAGAAGGAGAAGAUGUCUUAAGCUUUGCUCUAGCCUACAACAUGAUUGUAGCUAACACCCUCUUUAGAAAGAGAGAAUCACAUCUGGUGACUUUUAGUAGUGGCCAACACUCUAGCCAGAUUGAUUUCAUCCUCUCGAGAAGAGAAGAUAGG
rnacentral:rRNA from 1 species